AAGAAAGACAUAGUGAUUAUGGUGUUGGCUUGAAACCAAUUAGAGAGGGUUCAAUUCCUUCCUUUCUUG
rnacentral:tRNA from 1 species